AUUGAACGCUGGCGGCAGGCUUAACACAUGCAAGUCGAGCGGGGUGAUGGUGCUUGCACUAUCACUUAGCGGCGGACGGGUGAGUAAUGCUUAGGAAUCUGCCUAUUAGUGGGGGACAACAUCUCGAAAGGGAUGCUAAUACCGCAUACGUCCUACGGGGGAAAGCAGGGGAUCACUUGUGACCUUGCGCUAAUAGAAGAGCCUAAGUCGGAUUAGCUAGUUGGUGGGGUAAAGGCCUACCAAGGCGACGAUCUGUAGCGGGUCUGAGAGGAUGAUCCGCCACACUGGGACUGAGACACGGCCCAGACUCCUACGGGAGGCAGCAGUGGGGAAUAUUGGACAAUGGGGGGAACCCUGAUCCAGCCAUGCCGCGUGUGUGAAGAAGGCCUUAUGGUUGUAAAGCACUUUAAGCGAGGAGGAGGCUCUUUUGGUUAAUACCCAAGAUGAGUGGACGUUACUCGCAGAAUAAGCACCGGCUAACUCUGUGCCAGCCGCCGCAGUAA
rnacentral:rRNA from 1 species